rnacentral:lncRNA from 1 species
UUAGACUGGGUUACUGUUAGGGCUGGACUGGGUUAGACUGGGUUACUGUUAGGGCUGGACUGGGUUAGACUGGGUUACUGUUAGGGCUGGACUGGGUUAGGGCUGGACCGGGUUAGACUGGGUUACUGUUAGGGCUGGACUGGGUUACUGUUAGGGCUGGACUGGGUUAGACUGGGUUACUGUUAGGGCUGGACUGGGUUAGACUGGGUUACUGUUAGGGCUGGACUGGGUUAGACUGGGUUACUGUUAGGGCUAGACUGGGUUACUGUUAGGGCUGGACUGGGUUAGACUGAGUUACUGUUAGGGCUAGACUGGGUUACACUGGGUUACUGUUAGGGCUGGACUGGGUUACUGUUAGGGCUGGACUGGGUUAGACUGGGUUACUGUUAGGGCUAGACUGGGUUAGACUGGGUUACUGUUAGGGCUAGACUGGGUUAGGGCUGGACCGGGUUAGACUGGGUUACUGUUAGGGCUAGACUGGGUUAGGGCUGGACCGGGUUAGACUGGGUUACUGUUAGGGUAAGACUGGGUUACUGUUAGGGCUAGACUGGGUUAGACUGGGUUACUGUUAGGGCUAGACUGGGUUAGACUGGGUUACUGUUAGUGCUGGACUGGGUUAGACUGGGUUACUGUUAGUGCUGGACUGGGUUAGACUGGGUUACUGUUAGGGCUGGACUGGGUUAGACUGGGUUACUGUUAGGGCUGGACUGGGUUAGACUGGGUUACUGUUAGGGCUGGACUGGGUUAGGGCUGGACCGGGUUAGACUGGGUUACUGUUAGGGCUGGACUGGGUUACUGUUAGGGCUGGACUGGGUUAGACUGGGUUACUGUUAGGGCUGGACUGGGUUAGACUGGGUUACUGUUAUGGCUGGACUGGGUUAGACUGGGUUACUGUUAGGUCUGGACUGGGUUACUGUUAGGGCUAGACUGUGUUAGACUGGGUUACUGUUAGGGCUGGACUGGGUUAGACUGGGUUACUGUUAGGGCUGGACUGGGUUAGACUGGGUUACUGUUAGGACUGGACUGGGUUACUGUUAGGGCUGGACUGGGUUAGACUGGGUUACUGUUAGGGCUAGACUGUGUUAGACUGGGUUACUGUUAGGGCUGGACUGGGUUAGACUGGGUUACUGUUAGGGCUGGACUGGGUUGCACUGGGUUACUGUUAGGGCUGGACUGGGUUAGACUGGGUUACUGUUAGGACUGGACUGGGUUA